rnacentral:rRNA from 1 species
GACGAACGCUGGCGGCGUGCCUAAUACAUGCAAGUUGAGCGAUGAAGAUUGGUGCUUGCCCCAAUUUGAAGAGCAGCGAACGGGUGAGUAACGCGUGGGGAAUCUGCCUUUGAGCGGGGGACAACAUUUGGAAACGAAUGCUAAUACCGCAUAACUACUUUAAACAUAAGUUUUAAGUUUGAAAGAUGCAAUUGCAUCACUCAAAGAUGAUCCCGCGUUGUAUUAGCUAGUUGGUGAGGUAAAGGCUCACCAAGGCGAUGAUACAUAGCCGACCUGAGAGGGUGAUCGGCCACAGUGGGACUGAGACACGGCCCAAACUCCUACGGGAGGCAGCAGUAGGGAAUCUUCGGCAAUGGACGAAAGUCUGACCGAGCAACGCCGCGUGAGUGAAGAAGGGUUUCGGAUCGUAAAACUCUGUUGGUAGAGAAGAACGUUGGUGAGAGUGGAAAGCUCAUCAAGUGACGGUAACUACCCAGAAAGGGACGGCUAACUACGUG